GGGUGGUCGUUUAAGUCCAAUGUGAAAAUCCUGGUCUCCAGCGGUGAACUGCAGUGAUACUGGGCGACUAGAGUGUGGUAGAGUGUCAGGGGAAAUUCUUGAUUUCGCAGUGAACUGCGUAGAGAUCUGGAGGAACAUACAUGGCGAAGGCAGAUACCUGGCUCACACUGACACUGAGGCGCGAAAGCGUGGGGAGCAAACAGGAUAGAUACCCUGAUAGUCCACGCCUCUAAACGAUGCGAACUGGAUGUUGAGUGCAAUUUGGCACGCAGUAUCGAAGCUAACGCGUUAAGUUGAACGCCUGGGGAGUACGGUCGCAAGACUAAGACUCAAAGGAAUUGGCGGGGGCCCGCACAAGCGCUGGAGUAUGUGGUUUAAUUUGAUGCAACGGGAAGAACAUUACCUUGCCUUGACAUGUCCAGAUCUUUACAGAGAAGGAGUUGUGCCUUUGGGAACUAGAACACAGGUGCUCCAUGGCUGUAGUCAGGUCGUCUCGUGAGAUGUUGGGUUAAGUCCCUCAAUGAGCGCAACCCUUCUCCCUAGUUCCCAGCACGUAAUGAAGGGAACUUUAAGGAGGCCGCCGGUGGCAAACCGGAGGAAGGUGGGGAAGACGUCAAGUCAUCCUGGCCCUUUCGGCCAGGGCUACACACGUACUACAAUGGUAGGGACAGAGGGGUGCAAGCCGGCGACGGUAAGCCAAUCCCAGAAACCCUAUUUCAGUCCGG
rnacentral:rRNA from 1 species